GAUGAAGAACGGCAGCGAAAUGCGAUACGUAAUGUGAAUUGCAGAAUUCAGCGAAUCAUCGAGUCUUUGAACGCACAUUGCGCCCCCUGGUAUUCCGGGGGGCAUGCCUGUCCGAGCGUCAUUGCUGCCCUCAAGCACGGCUUGUGUGUUGGGCCUCCGUCCUCCUCCCGGGGGACGGGCCCGAAAGGCAGCGGCGGCACCGCGUCCGGUCCUCGAGCGUAUGGGGCUUCGUCACCCGCUCUUGUAGGCCCGGCCGGCGCUUGCCGACACAUCAAUCUUUUUUCCAGGUUGACCUCGGAUCAGGUAGGGAUACCCGCUGAACUUAAGCAUAUCAAUAAGCGGAGGA
rnacentral:misc_RNA from 1 species